UUGGAAGUGAUCUUUUCCUAAACGAUCGAUCACAAUUAUAAUGUGCCCAAAUUGAAAUCCUUAUUUGAGGAUUCAAAGCCAGGAAUCUUAUCUUU